GAUGAACGCUGGCGGCAUGCUUUACACAUGCAAGUCGAACGGAAACAUGGAGAGCUUGCUCUCUGAUGUCGAGUGGCGAACGGGUGAGUAAUACAUCGGAACAUGUCCUUUUGUGGGGGAUAACUACUCGAAAGAGUAGCUAAUACCGCAUACGAUCUACGGAUGAAAGCGGGGGACUCGCAAGGGCCUCGCGCGAUUGGAGCGGCCGAUAUCGGAUUAGGUUGUUGGUGAGGUAAAAGCUCACCAAGCCUGCGAUCUGUAGCUGGUCUGAGAGGACGACCAGCCACACUGGAACUGAGACACGGUCCAG
rnacentral:rRNA from 1 species